rnacentral:lncRNA from 1 species
UCUUGAAUUUAGGGCCCUUUAGUUUCGCAUCUGGACCUUCGAUAUUCACAUCAGGAACAUCAAUGUCCACCUUGGGUCCUGAGACGUCAAGGUCAGCCUUGGGCAGGUUCACAUCCACAUCUGGGCCCUCUCCUUUGAAGCCAGGCAUGCUGAACUUGGGCAUUUUCACCUUGGGCAUCUUCAGGUGCCAGUCUGGGCCUUGAACCUCCACAUCUGGGACAUCAAUGUCCAUUUUGGCACUUUUAAGUUCAACAUCAGGAACUUUAAUCUCACU